AGUGAACGCUGGCGGUAGGCCUAACACAUGCAAGUCGAACGGCAGCACAGAGGAGCUUGCUCCUUGGGUGGCGAGUGGCGGACGGGUGAGGAAUACAUCGGAAUCUACUCUGUCGUGGGGGAUAACGUAGGGAAACUUACGCUAAUACCGCACACGACCUACGGGUGAAGGCAGGGGAUCUUCGGACCUUGCGCGAUUGAAUGAGGCGAUGUCGGAUUAGCUAGUUGGCGGGGUAAAGGCCCACCAAGGCGACGAUCCGUAGCUGGUCUGAGAGGAUGAUCAGCCACACUGGAACUGAGACACGGUCCAGACUCCUACGGGAGGCAGCAGUGGGGAAUAUUGGACAAUGGGCGCAAGCCUGAUCCAGCCAUACCGCGUGGGUGAAGAAGGCCUUCGGGUUGUAAAGCCCUUUUGUUGGGAAAGAAAUCCAUCUGGUUAAUACCCGGGUGGGAUGACGGUACCCAAAGAAUAAGCACCGGCUAACUUCGUGCCAGCAGCCGCAGUAA
rnacentral:rRNA from 1 species